UACGGGGGGGGCAAGCGUUGUUCGGAAUUACUGGGCGUAAAGGGCGCGUAGGCGGCGACUCUAGUCAGAUGUGAAAGUCCUGGGCUUAACCUGGGGACUGCAUUUGAUACUGGGUUGCUUGAAUUCGGGAGAGGACAGCGGAAUUCCCAGUGUAGAGGUGAAAUUCGUAGAUAUUGGGAAGAACACCGGUGGCGAAGGCGGCUAUCUGGACCGACAUUGACGCUGAGGCGCGAAAGCGUGGGGAGCAAACAGG
rnacentral:rRNA from 1 species